ACAAAAACAUGUCUUUUUGAAUAUAAUUUAAAGUCUAACCUGCCCACUGAAUAAUUUAAAGGGCCGCGGUAUAUUGACUGUGCAAAGGUAGCAUAAUCAUUUGUCUCUUAAUUGGAGGCUAGAAUGAAUGGUUGAAUGAAGUAUUAACUGUCUCAUUUUAAUAAGUUAAAAAAUUAAUUUUUAAGUUAAAAAGCUUAAAUAAUUUUAGAGGACGAGAAGACCCUAUAGAUCUUUAUAUUAUAUUUUUAUAUAAAUAUUGGAUUAUAAUUAUUUAUAUAAAAAUAUAUUAUUUUAUUGGGGUGAUAGGAAAAUUAAUAGAACUUUUUUUUAUUUAUUAACAUAAAUUAAUGAAUUAUUGAUCCAUUAUUAUUGAUUAAAAAUUUAAGUUACCUUAGGGAUAACAGCGUAAUUUUUUUAGAGAGUUCAUAUCGAUAAAAAAGAUUGCGACCUCGAUGUUGAAUUAAAGGUUAUUUUUAAAUGCAGAAGUUUAAAGUUUAGGUCUGUUCGACCUUUGAAUCUUUACAUGAUCUGAG
rnacentral:rRNA from 1 species